AGGCUGGUAGAUGGUGCUAGAGGAUGCUCGGGAUCCACAUUAAGCCCAUUGUAAGGCAACUGCUAGUUCUGGAAGCUUCCCUGUUUCACGGGAGGAAGCAAGGUCCUCUGGCCCCCUGGGCAGAAGAGAAGGCGCAGCUCUUAUUAAUUCAAGUUCAAGUGGCGAUAAACGAGAACCAAUUAACAAGUAUGAUUCUUAGGUUAAGCAUGAAUAAAGCCAAAGGACAUGGACUUCCAGCGGCUCCUCUAGAGGAGAGUUUUCCCUGUGAAAACUUGCUCUUUAAAGCUUAAUCGGAGCAAAUGACACUCCACAGAAAACCUGAAUUGACGUUGACUCUGAUUGAGUGCUAAAGAAGCAAAAACCAGCUGCUCGGACAUAGUGUUUUAAAGCAUGAAUCUAUGCCUGGAAAGAGUGGGGCAAAAGGUAAGUAAGAAGUGUUGAAAGGAAUUUGCUUGUCCUCUUAGCCCAAGUCCAGUUGACUUGAGCUCUUGAGUCAGUGCUCACCAAUUUAUCUGAAGUCGGCACCACAAAAGGGAAAGACAGUUGCUUAUUCAGAUGAGCCAUUCAUGCAAAGUGCCUCACAGUGAAAUCUGUAAUAAAUCUGUUCUCAGUGAAAUCUGUGAUAAACCCCAUGGAAUAUAAGGACCAUAGGUUCUUUUCAGGCCCUUACUAGCAAACAUUAAAAGGAUAAUCUUAGACUUCAGUAUUUUGUUUGCCAAGCUGUGGCUUCCAAGGUCAGAAUAGAAAGCAAUGAAGCUUUCUACUCUGCAAGGUCUCUGAAGGAAUCCAAAUUUCUCUGUUCCAGAUAUUUACCUGCUGGCAACGCUGAUCCUGCCUAAGGGAAGGAGGGCAAUGAUGGAUAGGUAAAUCCCAAGGAACCAAGUUUAGUUACGUAGAAAGAUAUGUAGAGGAAGAGAUUGAAUCACCAGUAAAUGCAGUCUGUUAACAUCAGGAAACAUGGUUUGAAGGCAAAGGGCACAGAAAAUGUGUGAAAUAGCCCCAAUAAAAGCUACGUCACACAGGAUUAAUUUUUACAUGGUGAAAAUGUGAGAUGAAUGCACAUGUGUUUAUUCAUGACUAUUAAGGGAGGGGGUGUUGAAACACAAUUUCCUGUUGGGAUAUUGCAUCCAGGUGGGAAAUUCAUCUCAUGCAAAACACUGAGUAACUGGGACAAAUUGUUAUUAAGAACAACAAUUAUAUCUUGAGGAUAUGGACAAGCUGCUGGAAUAUGUGUAGCUGACCAUCUGCCCCUUUGGCACUUGCGCACCUUGGCUUCUUAGAGUUAGCCAUAGAGGACUGUGAGUCCAGAGAGUGAUUGCUGCUUCCUUAGUGAAGGGGGAGGGACCAACGGCCUUGAAGGAUGUGGUGGGGCACCUUCUCCUUAAGAAGACCUCCAUGGACCCAGAAGCAUUAAGCAACUCUCAUCCUUUUUUCAUCAAGGUGCUUGAGAAGGCAGUGGCAAUUCAUCUUCAGGCAUGCUUGGAGUAAACUGAUAACUUGGUAUCUGGCUACUGAGUUGGAUGAAGGUGAAUAAACUAAAAUUGAAUCUUUAUAAGACGUGGUGUGCUCUUGCUUGAUGUCUCCUGGGCCUAAGAACUAGGGGAAGAGUCUGAUUUUGAUAUGCUGCACUUUCCCAGAAGGUGCAGGUACAUAGUCUAGGGUGCUCUUUGAUAGCAUCUUGUUGGUGGUGAUGCAAAGGUCUCCAGCCACAGCAUUUCUCAGCAGGGAUAGCUUGGCCACAGGAAUCCAUGCUCUGAUAUCCUCCCAUUACUGUAACGUUGCCCUUGAAGACAACUUGGGAAUUGCUGCCAGCA